rnacentral:tRNA from 1 species
GGGGUUGUGGCUCAGUGGUAGACUGCUUGCCUAGCCUGUAUGAGGCACUGGGUUCAAUUCUCAGCACCACA